rnacentral:rRNA from 1 species
AUUGAACGCUGGCGGCAGGCCUAACACAUGCAAGUCGAGCGGAUGAAGGGAGCUUGCUCCUGGAUUCAGCGGCGGACGGGUGAGUAAUGCCUAGGAAUCUGCCUGGUAGUGGGGGAUAACGUCCGGAAACGGGCGCUAAUACCGCAUACGUCCUGAGGGAGAAAGUGGGGGAUCUUCGGACCUCACGCUAUCAGAUGAGCCUAGGUCGGAUUAGCUAGUUGGUGGGGUAAAGGCCUACCAAGGCGACGAUCCGUAACUGGUCUGAGAGGAUGAUCAGUCACACUGGAACUGAGACACGGUCCAGACUCCUACGGGAGGCAGCAGUGGGGAAUCUUGGACAAUGGGCGAAAGCCUGAUGCAGCCAUGCCGCGUGUGUGAAGAAGGUCUUCGGAUUGUAAAGCACUUUAAGUUGGGAGGAAGGGCAGUAAGUUAAUACCUUGCUGUUUUGACGUUACCAACAGAAUAAGCACCGGCUAACUUCGUG